rnacentral:rRNA from 1 species
UACGUAGGGUGCGAGCGUUAAUCGGAAUUACUGGGCGUAAAGUGUGCGCAGGCGGCCGCGCAAGUCGAGUGUGAAAGCCCCGAGCUUAACUUGGGAAUUGCGCUCGAAACUACGUGGCUGGAGUGUGGCAGAGGAAGGUGGAAUUCCACGUGUAGCGGUGAAAUGCGUAGAGAUGUGGAGGAACACCAGUGGCGAAGGCGACUUUCUGGCCUGUUCUUGACGCUGAGGCGCGAAAGCUAGGGGAGCAAACGGG